CACCACUCAAGCCUAGCUUGGUAUUGGGCGUCGCGAUUUCCGCGCGCCUUAAAGUCUCCGGCUGAGCAGUUCGUCUCUAAGCGUUGUGAUUUUCAAAUCGCUGAAGAGUUCGGGCGGCGACGGCCGUUAAAUCUUUAUUCAA
rnacentral:misc_RNA from 1 species